UCAUGUGGGUUUUGCAAAGGGUUUCUUACAGAGUUUUUUGGCAUUCUGUCCACCUCCAUCUGUAGAAACUACAAGUUGUUCUACUUUCUGGAGGUGGGCAUACUGCCAACUGAGCUCUGUUGGUCUCUCUUUGUAAAACCCUCGUGA
rnacentral:pre_miRNA from 1 species